rnacentral:rRNA from 1 species
UGCGUAGGCGGGAUGGCAAGUCAGAUGUGAAAUACCGGGGCUUAACCCCGGGGCUGCAUUUGAAACUGUCGUUCUUGAGUGAAGUAGAGGCAGGCGGAAUUCCUAGUGUAGCGGUGAAAUGCGUAGAUAUUAGGAGGAACACCAGUGGCGAAGGCGGCCUGCUGGGCUUUAACUGACGCUGAGGCACGAAAGCAUGGGGAGCAAACA